rnacentral:rRNA from 1 species
GACAGAGGGGGCAAGCGUUGCUCGGAAUUACUGGGCGUAAAGGGCGCGUAGGCGGGAUGGCAAGUCGGUCGUGAAAUCCCUCGGCCCAACCGAGGAACGUCGAUCGAUACUGCUGUUCUUGAGGAUUGCAGAGGAGACUGGAAUUCCCGGUGUAGCGGUGAAAUGUGUAGAGAUCGGGAGGAACACCGGUGGCGAAGGCGGGUCUCUGGGCAAUUCCUGACGCUGAGGCGCGAAAGCGUGGGGAGCAAACGGG